rnacentral:snRNA from 1 species
ACUCGCUUCGGCGGUACUAAUCUAGACUAAAAUUAGAACGAUACAGAGAAGAUUAGCAUGGCCCCUGCGCAAGGAUGACACGCAAAAUCGUAAAGCGUUCCGCAUUUUU